CACUCGGUCCGACGUCGGUGGGUUAUCAAUGAAUCUGAACCCCUCCCAUCGGCACCAACUUGACCGUUGU
rfam:Caenorhabditis japonica strain DF5081 Contig5612.5, whole genome shotgun sequence.